rnacentral:RNase_P_RNA from 1 species
CCAGACGGCCGGGCGGUCGCCCUUCUCCGGAGGGGAGGAAAGUCCGGGCUCCACGGCGACAAGGCGGCGGGCAACACCCGCCGGGAGCGAUCCCAGGGAUAGCGCCACAGAAAGCAAACCGCCCGGAGCUCGGACUCGUUCGGGCCGAGGGUAAGGGUGAAAGGGUGCGGUAAGAGCGCACCGGGUCGGCGGCGACGCCGACCGCAUGGCAAGCCCCGCCUGGAGCAAGACCGAAUAGGGACCGUGCGCCCUGCGACGCCUCGGCGGAGCAGGGCAGGGCCGUCGCCGGCCCGAGCGGUCCGGGUGCGUCGCGAGAACCGGCCGGUGACGGCCGGUCCAGAGGAAUGACCGCCGCGUCUGCGAAAGCAGGCGGCACAGAACCCGGCUUACAGGCCGUCUGGCCCC